AUGAAGCUCGCCGACAACCCGGCACAGUGGCCAACAGGGUUGGCCACCUCUGCCGGUUUACCUGAUACUCCGGUUCGGAAGCGCCGGUCUGAGGUGACACCUCCUUCCUCUUCUGGUGAAUCGACAAUAACUCAACUCCCCCCUUUGAAAACUGUGGCCGGGGCCAAAGCCAGACCCAGCAAGAAAGCUCGGGUCACCAAUCCGCCAGAAGACCCUGUCGUCGAAGAAGAAGAACCAAGAGGUGAACCGGAGCAGACUGGUGAACCGGAAGGUCUUCAUACUAAAACAACCUUUGAUGAUCCGCCCCUUGACGGCAAACACACCGAUAAACCAACAUAUGCUGAACCUGCCGCCCCUGAUACUGAACCGGCAGAACCACACCGGGCUAGUCCAAUGAAAGACACUGAAAUUCCAUCAUCAUCCACCAAAAAUCCUGAAGGUCAAGGUGAUGACGUUAUUAUUACUGGAAUGGGCCACAACUCUCCUGGUCAUCCCGUCAUUUUGGCUCAGCAUAGUGCCAAAGAAGAGCAAAUUGCUAGGGAUAAAGGUAAAUGGAGCAGCGACUUAUCGAACUAUGCUCAUCUUAACGCUGAUGAGCUUCAUUCCAACUUCUUGAACGUCUGCACUCAAACCGGGAUUAUGAAGCCGGUUUGGUGA
rnacentral:rRNA from 1 species